rnacentral:lncRNA from 1 species
GUGAGGAGGAGGAGGCGCCUCGGCCCACGCCAAACAUCCCAGAGGACCUGGAGAGCCGGGAGGCCACGGUGAGCCUGACUUUCCCUGCCCCGCUUUGCCACCUUCCUCUGUGGUCCCUCCCAGAGCCCGUUAUGCUCUUGGUUUUCCCACCUUCUGAUUUCUCUGGCCCCUCACCCCUUCCGGGAGCCAGUGGUCAGACACUUUGUCACCUGUGACCAACAGGUGCACUCUCUGAGGCCCCAAGGGAAGGGGUUGUUCUCCACCUCCCUGCCUCAUUUGUUCUGUCUAUGCCCCUACAAGAAUACUCACCUCUUGCCUUCAAGUGGCAUUUUUCAACUCCGCUGGAGCCAGUUCCCAGGAGGAGCAGGCACGGCUAUGUGGGCAGCGGAAGGUGCGAAGGCUGU